rnacentral:rRNA from 1 species
CCUACGGGGGGCAGCAGUGAGGAAUAUUGGUCAAUGGACGAGAGUCUGAACCAGCCAAGUAGCGUGAAGGAUGACUGCCCUAUGGGUUGUAAACUUCUUUUAUAUGGGAAUAAAACGUUCCACGUGUGGGAUUUUGUAUGUACCAUAUGAAUAAGGAUCGGCUAACUCCGUGCCAGCAGCCGCGGUAAUACGGAGGAUCCGAGCGUUAUCCGGAUUUAUUGGGUUUAAAGGGAGCGUAGGUGGAUUGUUAAGUCAGUUGUGAAAGUUUGCGGCUCAACCGUAAAAUUGCAGUUGAAACUGGCAGUCUUGAGUACAGUAGAGGUGGGCGGAAUUCGUGGUGUAGCGGUGAAAUGCUUAGAUAACACGAAGAACUCCGAUUGCGAAGGCAGUUCACUGGACUGCAACUGACACUGAGGCUCGAAAGUGUGGGUAUCAAACAGGAUUAGAUACCCGUGUAGUC